rnacentral:lncRNA from 1 species
GGUGGUGAAAAUAUGGGGUCAGCUACUUUGUUUAUGUUUACGUUUUGUUUGUUUAUUUCUGUUGUUUGUUUCGGCGGUGUGUUGAUUUCAUUAUUGACGUCAGAUAAUUUCCCAGCAUGCUGUUUGGAAUACGGCACCGCAUGUUAUUUUGGUCUGUUGAUUCCAACAACACUACCAGUGUUUGUGGUCUUCAUGUACUGCAACUGGCUUGGACACAAGUUUUUUAUCCAUAACUAAAGCCAAGCUGUGCCCAUUUUUCAUCGAAAGAGCCACGCCCUUUUAUAUAUCAGCAGACGUUAUCUUCAGCGAAAACCCCGCUGUCUGCUAAACUCGGGUCUGUACGAGAUGCAUUCUCCUGCAAGGAUUACCAGCGACAUGUAAAUGUACUAAAAGUUGUUUUAAUACUUGGAAACUCCUAUCGAAAGCACCGCAUUGGCGCAUUUGUUAAAAAUUCAGUUCAAUUCAAGCUAAAAAUCAAUUCACGGGUGGCUCAAUUAUAUGAUGUUAUCUGACGUGGUAUAAUGGUUCUUCGUUAAUUUGACCGUUCUGCUAGAAAUCUGAGAAAUAUUUCGUUAUGAAAGAGUACUAAUAACAGCGAAAAAGACGAGCAAUAAAGACCAACCUUACAGCGUUUUGGGGACACCACAAACACGUUAUUUUACUUAACAGUUGAAGAGCCGAGGGCAAUAUAUCCAUUAUUAUCCAAGACAGAUUUUGACUUUUUGAAACAACGCAAAAUUUGUUAAAACUAAGUAGAAUUAUUUAUAUGAUAUGCGCAGUACAAAUAUUAUAGAUAUCUGUCUCUUUAGAAGAUGCAUAUCAGCUGUAAUUAUAGUAAAUUUUAAAUGAGUUAUAUUAUGGUUGGAAAUAUUGUAAAUGAAUUUUGCUCCAAGGUGAAUUUCAUUGUUU